rnacentral:rRNA from 1 species
UUGACCUCGGAUCAGGUAGGGAUACCCGCUGAACUUAAGCAUAUCAAUAAGCGGAGGAAAAGAAACCAACAGGGAUUGCCCUAGUAACGGCGAGUGAAGCGGCAACAGCUCAAAUUUGAAAUCUGGCUCUUUCAGAGUCCGAGUUGUAAUUUGCAGAGGGCGCUUUGGCUUUGGCAGCGGUCCAAGUUCCUUGGAACAGGACGUCACAGAGGGUGAGAAUCCCGUACGUGGUCGCUAGCUAUUGCCGUGUAAAGCCCCUUCGACGAGUCGAGUUGUUUGGGAAUGCAGCUCUAAAUGGGAGGUAAAUUUCUUCUAAAGCUAAAUACUGGCCAGAGACCGAUAGCGCACAAGUAGAGUGAUCGAAAGAUGAAAAGCACUUUGGAAAGAGAGUCAAACAGCACGUGAAAUUGUUGAAAGGGAAGCGCUUGCAGCCAGACUUGCUUGCAGUUGCUCAUCCGGGCUUUUGCCCGGUGCACUCUUCUGCAGGCAGGCCAGCA